GCGGGAAUAGCUCAGUUGGUAGAGCACGACCUUGCCAAGGUCGGGGUCGCGAGUUCGAGUC
rnacentral:tRNA from 2 species